UACGGUCAUAUCACAUUGAUACACCGGUUUCUUUACGAUCACCGAAGUUAAGCAACGUCGAGACUGAUCAGUAUCUAUAUAGGUGACCGCUUGAGGAUACCAGGUGCUGUAA